rnacentral:rRNA from 1 species
UUCCGGUUGAUCCUGCCGGAGGUCACUGCUAUUGGGAUUCGACUAAGCCAUGCGAGUUGAGAGGUCGGCCCUCGGCUGACGGCUCAGUAACACGUGGAUAAUCUACCCUUAGGUGGAGGAUAAUCUCGGGAAACUGAGAAUAAUACUCCAUAGGUCUAGGAUGCUGGAAUGCAUCUAGACUCAAAACUCCGGUGCCUAAGGAUGAGUCUGCGGACUAUCAGGUUGUAGUCAGGGUAAUGACCUGACUAGCCUACGACGGAUACGGGUUGUGAGAGCAAUAACCCGGAGAUGAUAUCUGAGACACGAUAUCAGGCCCUACGGGGCGCAGCAGGCGCGAAAACUUCACACUGUGCGAAAGCACGACGAGGGAAUCCCAAGUGCUGCUCGUUAGAGUCAGCUGUUUUUAUGUCUAAAAAGCAUAAAGAGUAAGGGCUGGGUAAGACCGGUGCCAGCCGCCGCGGUAACACCGGCGGCUCAAGUGGUGACCGCUUUUAUUGGGCCUAAAGCGUUCGUAGCCGGUUCGGUAAGUCUUUGGGUAAAUCUUGCUGCUUAACAGUAAGAAUUCCGAAGAUACUGCCGGGCUAGGGACCGAGAGAGGUCGGAGGUACUCCUGGGGUAGAGGUGAAAUUCUGUAAUCCUGGGGGGACCACCAGUGGCGAAGGCGUCCGACUAGAGCGGGUCCGACGGUGAGGGGCGAAAGCCAGGGGAGCGAACCGGAUUAGAUACCCGGGUAGUCCUGGCCGUAAACGCUGUGGGCUAGGUGUUGCAUGCUCUACGGGGGCAUGCAGUGCCGAAGAGAAGUUGAUAAGCCUACCGCCUGGGAAGUAUUACUGCAAGGUAGAAACUUAAAGGAAUUGGCGGGGGAGCACCACAAGGGGUGGAGUCUGCGGUUCAAUUGGAUUCAACGCCGGA